UACGUAGGGUGCAAGCGUUAAUCGGAAUUACUGGGCGUAAAGCGUGCGCAGGCGGUUUUGUACGUCUGUCGUGAAAUCCCCCGGGCUCAACCUGGGAAUUGCGAUGGAGACUGCAAGGCUAGAAUCUGGCAGAGGGGGGGUAGAAUUCCACGUGUAGCAGUGAAAUGCGUAGAGAUGUGGAGGAACACCGAUGGCGAAGGCAGCCCCCUGGGUCAAGAUUGACGCUCAUGCACGAAAGCGUGGGGAGCAAACAGG
rnacentral:rRNA from 1 species